rnacentral:tRNA from 1 species
GGCUCGGUAGCUUAGUUGGUAAAGCGCUCGUCUAGCAUACAAGAGUCCUGGGUUUUCAAAUCCCAGCCGAGCAA